CACACAGCGGGGUUUCGGGGCUGUGGACCCUGUGCCAGGAAAGGAAGGGCGCAGCUCCUGCAAUGCAGAGCGGCCAGGGCAGUGGGCACCAGGCUUUAGCCUCCCUUUCUCACCCUACAGAGGGCAGGCCCUUCAGCUCCAUUCUCCUCCAAGGCUGCAGACGGGGCAGGAACUGGGGGUGACAGGAGAGCUGUAAGGUCUCCAGUGGGUCAUUCUGGGCCCAGAGAUGGGUGCUGAAGCUCCCACACCUGCCUGUGAAAAUGGAGUCCUCUCUCACCUAGGAGAGCCAGGUGCUGCCCCGAGAAGGAAGCAUUUAUGGCUUCAUGAAGUCUUUCCUGACCCCCGAUGCUGCUGACUAUAGAGACAAAGUCUCACUAUGUUGCUCAGGCUGGUCUUGAACUCCUGGCCUCAAGCGAUCCUCCCACCUUAGCCUCCCAAAGUGUUGGGAUUAUAGACAUGAGCCACUGCACCUGGCCGACCUUGGGCAAGUUCUUAAACCCUUCAAAGCCUCAUUUUUCUCCAAUCAUAAAAGGGAAAGAUGGUAAUAUUUUCCCUGCCAAAUUCUUGUCGGAUGCCCUCACAGAAUUGAGAUUAUGUACAUAAAACACCAGGUGCCUAACCCGGCACAGAGCAGGAGGGCUAAGCAUGACAUCCAGCACGUGGUCAGUGGAAUCCAGUAUUCCUACCCACCUCUCUAGUCUCCCCUCCACCCCUCUCCCUUUCAGAGGCACCAAGCUGCUUGUGGUCUUGUCUAUUCCCACUCCCUGCCUGACUGAACAUUUUCUCCACCCCCUGAUCAUCAGCAGCAGAAACUGGCUGCUCUUCCUCCUGGGUAGACAGCCAGACUGUAUUUCCCAGCUGCCCCUGCAGUGAGAUGUGGCCAUCGGAGCCAGCAUUGGCCAAUGGACUCUGCAUGGGAGUGACGCAUGCUGCCUCCAGGCUUCUCCCUAAAACCUCCCACGUGUCCUCCGCCUGCUCUUCCCACUUCCAAGGAGCACGGCAAUUGUGGAAGACCCAGAUUAGUGAUGGCAGAACCAUAGAUGGGAGGAACCUGGGUCCCUGACUUAAAAUAUCAUGGAUUUGGAUGUUCCCUUAGUGAGAAAUAAACUUCCAUUGUGUUUAAGCCUUUA
rnacentral:lncRNA from 1 species